GAUGAACGCUGGCGGCGUGCCUAAUACAUGCAAGUCGAGCGAACAGACGAGAGUGCUUGCACUCUCUGACGUUAGCGGCGGACGGGUGAGUAACACGUGGGUAACCUACCUAUAAGACUGGGAUAACUUCGGGAAACCGGAGCUAAUACCGGAUAAUAUUUAGCUUCGCAUGAAGCAAUAGUGAAAGACGGUUCUGCUGUCACUUAUAGAUGGACCCGCGGUGUAUUAGCUAGUUGGUGAGGUAACGGCUCACCAAGGCAACGAUACAUAGCCGACCUGAGAGGGUGAUCGGCCACACUGGGACUGAGACACGGCCCAGACUCCUACGGGAGGCAGCAGUAGGGAAUCUUCCGCAAUGGACGAAAGUCUGACGGAGCAAUGCCGCGUGAGUGAAGAAGGUUUUCGGAUCGUAAAACUCUGUUGUAAGGGAAGAACAAGUACGUUAGUAACUGAACGUACCUUGACGGUACCUUACCAGAAAGCCACGGCUAACUACG
rnacentral:rRNA from 1 species